ACUACAAGGGCCAUGUUUUCGUGUAUUUACAACAGUAACAGAGCUCUAGGUACGACACACUACAAGGGCCAUGUUUUCAUGUAUUUACAACAGUAACAGAGUUCUAGGUACGACACACUACAAGGGCCAUGUUUUCAUGUAUUUACAACAGUAACAGAGUUCUAGGUACGACACACUACAAGGGCCAUGUUUUCAUGUAUUUACAACAGUAAGAGAGCUCUAGGUACGACACACUACAAGGGCCAUGUUUUCAUGUAUUUACAACAGUAACAGAGCUCUAGGUACGACACACUACAAGGGCCAUGUUUUCAUGUAUUUACAACAGUAAGAGAGCUCUAGGUACGACACACUACAAGGGCCAUGUUUUCAUGU